CCACUUUAGCCUUGAACAAUUGGCAGAAUGUUCCGCUCCUCUCCAUGAUAGAUGCAGGAGGGAGGCCGCUUACUUCUAUCCAUCCGCUUCCAGAGCCAGUUUUUUAUCCAACCAGAGACUGGGCUGACUGAAGCUCGGAGAUGGCGGCGGACACGCGCACCGAGGAGAUGCCGCACCCGACGGAGUAAGAAGAAACUACUACCAAAGGCAGAGGGACCCACGGGACUGAGUGUCUUCAAUUUAUCAAGCAAGAUAUUGAGCCCUGCCCAUGUCUCCUUGCUUUGUAAAGGAUUACAUUUUGUGCCUACAACUCAGUGCAACGAUUUCGAUGUUAAGAUCCUGCUGGCGUUCCACAUGCUGAUAUCCAUAUUCACAGGGGCCGUCCCCCCUCAUCUCUGUCGCUCCACCAACACCACCUGGCCCUUGACCGCCAGCUCAGACCCUCCCAAUUUCAACUUCAGCCUGGUGACCGGCCCAGACGGUGACCCAGGCCGGUCCUGCUCUGCCCCUGGGGGGAUCCCUGGCACCCCGCUGGCCCAGCUGAAUCACAGCACUGCCCUGGCCCUUAGUGACAGCCACGCCACUGAGGGUUGCCAAGGGGGAUGGGAAUUCAGCAAGGAGACCUUCCACAGCACUGUGGCAACCGAGUGGGAUCUGGUGUGUGACCAUGCCAAUCUAAACAAUGUUGGUUCCUCAAUCUACAUGUUUGGUCUUCUGGUUGGCGCUGUGCUGUUUGGUUUCUUAGCUGAUAAGUAUGGACGCAGGAACAUAAUCCUGGUUGGUUUGACUAUCCAGUCAACCUGUGGGGUCGGAGCUGCGUUUGCCCCAAAUUUCUACGUGUAUGUUUUUCUGCGCUUUGUUGUUGGAACCACUAUUUCUGCUGUCAUCAUGAACGCAUUUGUUUUAGGCACAGAGUGGACAGGAUCAAAGCACCGCAUGCUAGCUGGGAUCAUCACCGACUAUUUCUUUGGGUUUGGCUACAUCAUCCUGGCAGGCCUGGCCUACCUCAUCCGAGACUGGCGUAAACUCCAGCUGGCCAUCUCAGCACCAGGCUUCCUCUUCAUCUUCUACAUUUGGGUCCUACCAAAGUCGGCUCGGUGGCUGAUGGCCAACCAGAGGUACGAGGAGGCCAUGGAUCUGGUCAGGAAAGCAGCUCUGAUGAACGGCAAACCCCUGCGGGAGGACAUAGAGAUAUGCCAGGGGUACAAAGACAUGGUGAAGAUAGAGGAGAGGACAAAGCACACAGUCAUUGACCUGGUCCGAACUCCAAAAAUGAGGAGGAGCUCACUGAUCAUGUUUUACCUGUGGUUUGUCAACGUGCUGGUCUACUAUGGCCUGUCCCUCAACAUCUCUGACUUUGGGAUGAGCAUCUACCUGACCCAGCUGAUCUUUGGCCUGGUGGAGAUGCCUGCUCGCACCAUCACUCUCUUCACCCUCAACCGCUCCAGGAGGGUAUCCCAGAUAGCCUUCCUCACUGUGGGAGGCCUAGCCUGCCUGCUCACUGUCUUCAUUCCCGAUGAUCUCUCCAUUAUUAGAACAAUCCUGGCAAUGGUGGGAAAGUUUGGGAUCACCGCCUCCCUGUCCAUAGUCUACGUCUAUUCAGCAGAGGUUUUCCCUACUGUCAUAAGGCAGAGUGGGAUCGGUAUGGGCUCCAUGUGUGCCCGGGCAGGGGGAGUCCUGGCCCCAAUCAUCUACCUGUUGAGGGGUGUCAGUAAGAAGGCUCCAAUGGUUCUGUUUGGCCUGUGUACUCUGCUAGGGGCAGCCCUCACCCUGCUGUUGCCUGAGACAGUCCACCAGCCCCUGGCUGACAACAUCCAGGAUGUGGAGGGAUCCAGCAUCAGUGAGGACUCAGAGGAAGGGAACAUGAAACCAGACCUCUAUGAGGAAUGUCCAACAAGGAACCCAGACAUCAUAAACGGAAGAACUUAGAGUGGGACAAGCCACCAGUCCGCACCGGAUGACUUCUACGCGGAAAGACCAUUAGCCCAAGGAACUCAACUGUGCAUUCCAUGGAACCUCGAGGUCCCAGCGUCAACUCCAAGAUGACCCAGUCAGCAGAUAUGCUGUGGCGUCUGUGGCGAGCCCUAAUACAAGACAAGGAAGCCAUUGUCCAAGAGAGGGAUGGAUGGACUGAAUGAUGAACCGUCAUGACAGUGCCCUCACUUCAAACACGAAGUUUACAUUUCACAUUUCCAUGACGUUAUUAAUACUUCUGCUGAAGGCUUUCAUUCUGAGCGGUUACACUAAGUGUAUGACGUAAAGCACUGGAACGGCAGCACUAACAGCAGAGAAACAUAUCCUAGUUUGUGAUCUUCAACAUUGGGUGGAGCAGGAUAGAAAUAGUCAUUUUAGGACUGUGGUUUGGGUUGGAACUUGUCAUUUGUUAUUACAGUGACUGAUUUGACAGGUCUGAAUUGUUCCGUUGUCAUUCUAAGGGUUAAGAGAGAAAAGCCACAAAUUGUUGUUUUGGAUGAAAUAGAGUGUUUGCCUUGCAGUCAUGUAGGCUAACCCACUGUGAUAUAUGUUAAGUAACAGGAGUCAGGGCUCGUUGUGUUACUGAUCACUGCCACUCUCUGGAGAAAAGUGGUACUUGCUUCUAUUCUGACAGCAGGUGCUGUAUACAGUAUAAGUACUGUAAGGAAGCACAAGCAUUAUGAUCACAGAUAUUAUGUUACAAUAUGUGCAUUACCUUUGUACUGUUCUGUGCAAUCAGCACUUUUAUACAUACAUAAUACAUACAUGCGUAUGCGUUUCAGAUUUACAGAACCAAAGUAUGACUGGGGGGGGGGGGGGAUUCAACUUCAUUUAUAUAAGAUAGUUCUGUUUACACAAUGUCCGCUAUGCUGCGUGUCAUUUCAAAAAGUCUUAUAGCCAAUGGUGAGGGGCAGCUAAGGGGUUGACUAGAUGCCAGUGUUAAUCGACUCCACCUCAUUGUGGGGAACAACUGCAGGUUCUGUGCUCUCUGACUGACUGAGUAGCUGGCACAGGCAUGUAGCAUGGCUGUCAAUGAUUCACUGCUCAUAGGAAAUUAGAAAACAACUGGCAUUUCAAUUAUUGCCAUUUCAAUUAUAACAGAGGAUUCUGAGAGGCAACAGCUGCAAGUACCCACUUGACCAUCCCCCCCACGACACUGACAUGCAGGGAGCUGUUCUACCCUUCUUUGUCUGUGAGAGCUUUGACUGAAUAUUUCAUGGUUGUAGUGGCAUUGUCUGUGGCAAUGCAUGUAUGUAAAGUAGGCCUACUGUCAUUGUAAAACGUGAUGUGAAAAGAUCCAUUGUUCAAAAUUACAGAGAAGCUAGUCUGAAACAAGGGUCAAACUGUAGGCUAACCUCUCCAUAGAUUAUCAUGCCCACACUGGCAUUUGCUAUGGUAUUAUGCUGAGUGUCACGACUUCCGCCGGAGCUGGUCCCUCUCCUUGUUCGUUCGGCGGUUCGAAGUCACCAAAUUUCUAGCCAUCGCUGAUCCUCUUUUCAUUUUCCUUUGGUCUUGUCUUGUAUCACACCUGGUUCCAAUCCCAUCAAUAACAUGUUGUGUAUUUAACCCUCUGUUCCCCCUCAUGUCCUUGUCGUGAUUGUUUGUUUGUAAGCGAUGUGCAAGUUAUGUUCUGGUGUGUGACGGGUUUUCUACCCAAUUGUAUUAUUUUGUAAAUUUUGGUUUUCUGAAUUUUUGAGCAUUUAUUAAACUGCUCCGUUUAUACUAAGUUCGAUCUCCUGCGCCUGACUCCCCUGCCACCAGUACGCAACCCCCUUACACUGAGAAUGUUUACACUAGGCCUAUGCAAUUACUUUCCAGACCCCUGUUUCUAGAAUAAAGACAUGAGAUUGAAAACAGAAGUUUCACAAGUGUGACUACAUUUCCAUAUCUGAUGUCACUGGUAUUCGAAUAAUCCAGAUCUAAUCUCCUGAAUUCUAUCAAGGUAUAAUUAAGCGAAAAGGUAUGUAUACUUAUGUGAUGAACGGGAAUUUCUCCGGUUCAUACUGUUGCCGUCAUGACGAAAGUGGCACUAUGCUGCCCAUACCGCCCACGUUUCUAGUUUCACCAGCUGUUUCCAGCAACGGAUACAUUUUUUAUUUGCUUGUCAUAUUGGCCUUUUCUGCUAGCAGCACACUAUUUAGCUAGCUUCUAGCCUAGUGUUUGAUAUGCACUGUGAUUUCCUCGUAAUUAACCGUUUUGAGUGUCCUGAUGAGAAGGCAAACUUGUCUAUCUAUGCCAGGCAAAUUCAGGCAUCAUCACUCAUUUGGAUGUAUCCAAAUUAUGUAUCCAAAUGUCAAUAGAAUACUGCUUAAACAAACUAGUUGGCUAGCUAGCAAGCAAGGGAUAAAAAGGUUGCCACCGAGCAUGGCAACGGAACAUGUAGAACAAACAACUGGGUCGUGUCCAUAAACAUAGAACCAAUUGAACGAAUCUCUAGCAACCAAAAGAUGAGAAAGUGUGAAUUUGCUUAUUAAAAAUGAAAAUAUCAACCAAAUUAUUAUUUUCUACCGGUAAAUUUGUGCUUAAGUAUGUUUUGUCUUUGGCAACUGUAGUAUAAGCAGGAUAAACACCUCCGUUCUGUACAUUACCUU